AGAGUUUGAUCAUGGCUCAGAUUGAACGCUGGCGGCAUGCCUUACACAUGCAAGUCGAACGGCAGCACGGGGGCAACCCUGGUGGCGAGUGGCGAACGGGUGAGUAAUACAUCGGAAUGUACCCAGUAGUGGGGGAUAACUAGUCGAAAGAUUAGCUAAUACCGCAUACGCACUAUGGUGGAAAGCGGGGGAUCGCAAGACCUCGCGCUAUUGGAGCAGCCGAUGUCCGAUUAGGUAGUUGGUGGGGUAAAGGCCUACCAAGCCUGCGAUCGGUAACUGGUCUGAGAGGACGACCAGUCACACUGGGACUGAGACACGGCCCAGACUCCUACGGGAGGCAGCAGUGGGGAAUUUUGGACAAUGGGGGAAACCCUGAUCCAGCAAUGCCGCGUGUGUGACGAAGGCCUUCGGGUUGUAAAGCACUUUUGGCGGGAACGAAACGGCGCUUUCUAAUACAGAGCGCUAAUGACGGUACCCGCAGAAUAAGCACCGGCUAACUACGUGCCAGCAGCCGCGGUAAUACGUAGGGUGCAAGCGUUAAUCGGAAUUACUGGGCGUAAAGCGUGCGCAGGCGGUUUCGUAAGACAGAUGUGAAAGCCCCGGGCUCAACCUGGGAAGUGCAUUUGUGACUGCGAGACUAGAGUGUGUCAGAGGGA
rnacentral:rRNA from 1 species